AAGCCUACGGGGCGCAGCAGUGAGGAAUAUUGGUCAAUGGUCGGGAGACUGAACCAGCCAAGCCGCGUGAGGGAUGAAGGUACAGAGUAUCGUAAACCUCUUUUGUCAGGGAACAAAGGCGGGGACGUGUCCCCGGAUGAGUGUACCUGAAGAAAAAGCAUCGGCUAACUCCGUGCCAGCAGCCGCGGUAAUACGGAGGAUGCGAGCGUUAUCCGGAUUUAUUGGGUUUAAAGGGUGCGUAGGCGGAGUGUCAAGUCAGCGGGAAAAUUUCGGGGCUCAAACC
rnacentral:rRNA from 1 species